AUUGAACGCUGGCGGCAGGCCUAACACAUGCAAGUCGAGCGGAUGAAGGGAGCUUGCUCCUGGAUUCAGCGGCGGACGGGUGAGUAAUGCCUAGGAAUCUGCCUGGUAGUGGGGGAUAACGUCCGGAAACGGGCGCUAAUACCGCAUACGUCCUGAGGGAGAAAGUGGGGGAUCUUCGGACCUCACGCUAUCAGAUGAGCCUAGGUCGGAUUAGCUAGUUGGUGGGGUAAAGGCCUACCAAGGCGACGAUCCGUAACUGGUCUGAGAGGAUGAUCAGUCACCCUGGAACUGAGACACGGUCCAGACUCCUACGGGAGGCAGCAGUGGGGAAUCUUGGACAAUGGGCGAAAGCCUGAUCCAGCCAUGCCGCGUGUGUGAAGAAGGUCUUCGGAUUGUAAAGCACUUUAAGUUGGGAGGAAGGGCAGUAAGUUAAUACCUUGCUGUUUUGACGUUACCAACAGAAUAAGCACCGGCUAACUUCGUG
rnacentral:rRNA from 1 species